UACAGGGGGGGCAAGCGUUGUUCGGAAUUACUGGGCGUAAAGGGCGCGUAGGCGGCCUGUUAAGUCGAACGUGAAAUCCCCGGGCUCAACCCGGGAACUGCGUCCGAUACUGGCAGGCUUGAAUCCGGGAGAGGGAUGCGGAAUUCCAGGUGUAGCGGUGAAAUGCGUAGAUAUCUGGAGGAACACCGGUGGCGAAGGCGGCAUCCUGGACCGGUAUUGACGCUGAGGCGCGAAAGCCAGGGGAGCAAACGGG
rnacentral:rRNA from 1 species